AUUGAACGCUGGCGGCAGGCCUAACACAUGCAAGUCGAGCGGAUGAAGGGAGCUUGCUCCUGGAUUCAGCGGCGGACGGGUGAGUAAUGCCUAGGAAUCUGCCUGGUAGUGGGGGAUAACGUCCGGAAACGGGCGCUAAUACCGCAUACGUCCUGAGGGAGAAAGUGGGGGAUCUUCGGACCUCACGCUAUCAGAUGAGCCUAGGUCGGAUUAGCUAGUUGGUGGGGUAAAGGCCUACCAAGGCGACGAUCCGUAACUGGUCUGAGAGGAUGAUCAGUCACACUGGAACUGAGACACGGUCCAGACUCCUACGGGAGGCAGCAGUGGGGAAUAUUGGACAAUGGGCGAAAGCCUGCUCCAGCCAUGCCGCGUGUGUGAAGAAGGUCUUCGGAUUGUAAAGCACUUUAAGUUGGGAGGAAGGGCAGUAAGUUAAUACCUGGCUGUUUUGACGUUACCAACAGAAUAAGCACCGGCUAACUUCGU
rnacentral:rRNA from 1 species